GGCCUAACACAUGCAAGUCGAGGGGUAUUUAUCUUCGGAUAGAGAGACCGGCGCACGGGUGCGUAACGCGUAUGCAAUCUACCUUUUACAGAGGGAUAGCCCAGAGAAAUUUGGAUUAAUACCUCAUAGUAUAUAGCCUCGGCAUCGAGAUUAUAUUAAAGUCACAACGGUAAAAGAUGAGCAUGCGUCCCAUUAGCUAGUUGGUAAGGUAACGGCUUACCAAGGCUACGAUGGGUAGGGGUCCUGAGAGGGAGAUCCCCCACACUGGUACUGAGACACGGACCAGACUCCUACGGGAGGCAGCAGUGAGGAAUAUUGGUCAAUGGGCGCAAGCCUGAACCAGCCAUGCCGCGUGCAGGAUGACGGUCCUAUGGAUUGUAAACUGCUUUUGUACGAGAAGAAACACUGAUUCGUGAAUCAGCUUGACGGUAUCGUAAGAAUAAGGAUCGG
rnacentral:rRNA from 1 species